rnacentral:rRNA from 1 species
GACGAACGCUGGCGGCGUGCCUAAUACAUGCAAGUAGAACGCUGAAGGAGGAGCUUGCUCUUCUGGAUGAGUUGCGAACGGGUGAGUAACGCGUAGGUAACCUGCCUGGUAGCGGGGGAUAACUAUUGGAAACGAUAGCUAAUACCGCAUAACAGUAGAUGUUGCAUGACAUUUGCUUAAAAGGUGCAAUUGCACCACUACCAGAUGGACCUGCGUUGUAUUAGCUAGUUGGUGGGGUAACGGCUCACCAAGGCGACGAUACAUAGCCGACCGGAGAGGGGGGUCGGCCACACUGGAGCUGAGACACGGCCCAGACGCCUACGGGAGGCAGCAGUAGGGAAUCUUCGGCAAUGGACGGAAGUCUGACCGAGCAACGCCGCGUGAGUGAAGAAGGGUUUCGGAUCGUAAAGCUCUGUUGUAAGAGAAGAACGAGUGUGAGAGUGGAAAGUUCACACUGUGACGGUAUCUUACCAGAAAGGGACGGCUAACUACGUG